UAGCUGAUUGGCUCCUCUGCGGUGAUGCUCAUUGGGCUGUUUCCCUGCCCUUUCAGACCACGGAGCUGCUCAUUGGGGGACUUUUUUGGCUCCGCCCACGUGACCCAGCCAAUCGGCCUCAAGAGCAGGAGGAUUGUGGGAGGUGGAGAGAAGCUUGUGUGGGAGAGAGAGGCUUUUGGAAAGCCAGUGGUGGCAGUUGAGGCUCUGAGGGUUUUUCCUGAGAGGCUGUUUUGUUUGGCGUGUGUGGUUCUAAAAAUAAAGUUAGUUUCUUUUGACAAGUGGCUCCUGAUUGUGCCCAGCCAGACUGCGGCAUAUGACUUUGUAAUUAAGGCAAAGGUAAUUACCUUUAUGAUGAGGUUUGGAAGAAUGAGGAAAGCCCUGACCACACCACCACCCACUGUGAAAAUAUACACACAUCCCAGUGCACUGUCACACUGACCCUGAAAUGCCCUCAUAAUACAUUCUCUAUCCUAGGCUAACAGUUUCAUAUUUUAAAAUACAAAUGAUUUUCGAGAAUUAUUGUAUUAAGUGGUCUAUUAGAGCAUAACACUUUAAUAGGAAAUUCUCUGAAUAUUUUUUCCUGGGAGUGAGAAUAAUUGGAGUUUUAAUGGAAGUCUAGGAAGGAAGAAAUAAUCUUGAUCUGGGGCACAAUCCCAGGAGAAGUUUAACUAAAGAGCAAAUUCUGGACAGCCAAGAAGCUGCAAAGGGAUACAGAAUGCCUGGGAAGUAUGAUGGAGAAGCUGCCCAGUAUUGAAGAAAAGAAAAAUGGAGAACAAAGGCAAGGCAAACCCAACAUGUUUAGUACAGUUGCCUAUCUAAGACGAGAGACCUGAACACUACACCGUCUUCCAUCAUUUAGUGACCACCUAUAUGUGCUAGACAUUUUCCUAAUUGCUGAUCAUAAAAAGUGUAAUGUGAUAUUCUUGUCCUUAAAGAGUUUGCAUUCUAAGUGGACAGAGAGGUUAAAUAAAUAGAUGGAAAUAUGUUUUCAAGUUGUGAUUAAGUGCAAUGAAGAACAUAAGACAUACAGUUUUUAUAUUUUUUAUUUUCUGCUUUGAAAUUUGACUACCCUGCAAAAUCUGGUAAAACAGAUAAAUUGGCAAGGGCUGCAAUCUUUAUAAUCUGUAUAAUCAACUGCUGUUGACUCAGGUGCUAUAUAAGCAAGUUUCUAGAGCUAAUCCUAAAACACCCUCGGGACUCUUUGAAAUUCUGUAGACUCCACAUUCUGAAAACUGAGGAGUUCCUUGGAGCUGAUUCUAAUAAUUAAAUAGGUAAGGCUAACUUCUGCCCUUGUGGUUUGAUUUUAAGACCUACCUUCUAUUUGUUAUUUCUACUGCCAGCACAAUGCCCACCUUCCUGCUACUUUUUCAGAAAUUCCAGUAUUGAGAAUUCUAAUAGGCUGGUCUAAGGAAAAGGAAAAAGAAACAUGUUUGGUCAUGAAGCAGCUGGUGGCAAGAAGGAAAGAGAGGCAUAAGGAAUAGGCCCAGAGUCCUGGGGAAAAAGUUAUAAGAACACUGAUGGUUUCCACCUAGGAGAGUGAACUCACACCAGUUCACAGUAACUCAUGUGAAGCAUAACUCAGGGAGAAUGGGGAACAGAAUACCUCCUAAACUUAAGGAAAUUUAUGCACAAAUCUGCAAAACAAGCCCUUGAGGUGCUGUUGCUCAGUGUUAAAGAGGGAAUGUAAACAUGCACUAUGAUAGAGUGCAUCACAGUCCUGAAAUUUCUUUUAGGAAAGCAUGUGAUUAUGAAAGCCAUUGGAAAUAGGAGGUCAGGUAGAUAGUUUAUGUUACUUUUAUAUUACAAACAAAAUCAUACUAUUCUUAAUACUGAACGACAGUGCAAAAUGUAUUUAUGCCUUGUUUUCACAUGCCUGCUAAUGAAA
rnacentral:lncRNA from 1 species